rnacentral:rRNA from 1 species
UACAGAGGUCCCAAGCGUUGUUCGGAUUCAUUGGGCGUAAAGGGUGCGUAGGUGGCGUCGUAAGUCGGGUGUGAAAUUUCGGAGCUCAACUCCGAAACUGCAUUCGAUACUGCGGUGCUUGAGGACUGGAGAGGAGACUGGAAUUUACGGUGUAGCAGUGAAAUGCGUAGAGAUCGUAAGGAAGACCAGUGGCGAAGGCGGCCAUCUGGACGGAUACUGACGCUGAGACGCGAAAGCGUGGGGAGCAAACAGG